CCUACGAGAUGCAGCAGUAGGGAAUCUUCCACAAUGGGCGAAAGCCUGAUGGAGCAACGCCGCGUGGGUGAAGAAGGUCUUCGGAUCGUAAAACCCUGUUGUUAGAGAAGAAAGUGCGUGAGAGUAACUGUUCACGUUUCGACGGUAUCUAACCAGAAAGCCACGGCUAACUACGUACCAGCAGCCGCGGUAAUACGUAGGUGGCAAGCGUUAUCCGGAUUUAUUGGGCGUAAAGGGAACGCAGGCGGUCUUUUAAGUCUGAUGUGAAAGCCUUCGGCUUAACCGGAGUAGUGCAUUGGAAACUGGGAGACUUGAGUGCAGAAGAGGAGAGUGGAACUCCAUGUGUAGCGGUGAAAUGCGUAGAUAUAUGGAAGAACACCAGUGGCGAAAGCGGCUCUCUGGUCUGUAACUGACGCUGAGGUUCGAAAGCGUGGGUAGCAAACAGGAUUAGAUACCCCAGUAGUC
rnacentral:rRNA from 1 species